rnacentral:rRNA from 1 species
GAUCCUGGCUCAGGAUGAACGCUGGCGGCGUGCUUAACACAUGCAAGUCGAACGAAGCACUUGAGAAUGAUUCUUCGGAAGAUUUCUCUUGUGACUUAGUGGCGGACGGGUGAGUAACGCGUGGGUAACCUGCCUCACACAGGGGGAUAACAGUUGGAAACGACCGCUAAUACCGCAUAACCCGCUAGGGCCGCAUGGCCCGGACGGAAAAGAUUUAUCGGUGUGAGAUGGACCCGCGUUGGAUUAGCUAG